AAACCAUAGCGGCUUCUC
rnacentral:snRNA from 1 species